AUUUCCGGUUGUUCUGUAAAAGGGUUAGAUUCGGAGCCCCUAGAAGGCUACUAUAGGCUCUCCUUCUCAACUCCUACUCAAUACGUCCACGUCGUGCAGAACGGUAACUUGUCGCCUAGAUCCAAGCUUGGGUACACGGGGAAACCCAACCCCUUGGGCGGAUGGGCGGCAAGGCUGAAUUGAGAGGU
rnacentral:ribozyme from 1 species